ACGAGUUAGGGUCCUCUAGGCCCGACCUCCCAACCCUUUGCUUACCGAACCUCUGUUGCUUCGGCGGGCCCGUCUCACGACCGCCGGAGGACCGCCGCAGGGCGUGUCCCUCUAGCCCGUGUCCGCCGAUAGCCAACUACAAAACUCUGUAUAAAUCAUGUCUCAUGUCUAAGUCAAAUUGAAUUAAAAGCA
rnacentral:misc_RNA from 1 species